UACGAAGGGGGCUAGCGUUGUUCGGAAUCACUGGGCGUAAAGCGCACGCAGGCGGAUUGAUAAGUCAGGGGUGAAAUCCCGGAGCUCAACUUCGGAAUUGCCUUUGAUACUGUCAAUCUCGAGUCCGGGAGAGGUGAGUGGAAUUCCUAGUGUAGAGGUGAAAUUCGUAGAUAUUAGGAAGAACACCAGUGGCGAAGGCGGCUCACUGGUCCGGUACUGACGCUGAGGUGCGAAAGCGUGGGGAGCAAACAGG
rnacentral:rRNA from 1 species